rnacentral:tRNA from 1 species
GCAGAGGUAGCAAAGCCAGGUCAAAUGCGUCAGACUUAAGAAAUUAUCUUUUAACAAAAGUGUUUUAAGAUAUCUGAUGGCCUAGCGCCUUCGUGGGUUCAAAUCCCACCCUCUGCA